UGAACAGCUGGUUUACUGAAAAUAGGCGUAUCCUUAUAAAACAAACAGGUUGUUGUCGAUGUAAGAACUAAACGUUUAUCUGGAAUUGGACCAGUAUAAUUAAAUGUUUCUUUUAAAUUAUUGGAUGUCGGCCUGUUGACAUGAUGACUAUAGGCUACAGACCAAUUUUUUGAUUAUUUGAUUAUAAUUGUUUGAUUAUAAUUUUCGAUUGUUAUUUAUGUAUUUCUUAUUUAAAUAUUUAUAUAUAAGUUUUUGAGGAUUUUCUAUAUGUAUGUAAUUUUACAACAUAUUUGUAUAUAAGUGGAAAUAAAUGGCGUGUGUAUGCA